rnacentral:rRNA from 1 species
GACAGAGGUGCCGAGCGUUAGGCGGAAUCACUGGGCUUAAAGCGUGUGUAGGCGGAUGCCUAAGUACCUUGUGAAAUCCCACGGCUCAACCGUGGAACUGCUGGGUAUACUGGGCGUCUUGGGCCAUUCAGGGGCGACUGGAACAAGCGGUGGAGCGGUGAAAUGCGUAGAUAUCGCUUGGAACGCCGAAGGUGAAAACAGGUCGCUGGGGAUGUGCCGACGCUGAGACACGAAAGCCAGGGGAGCAAACGGG